ACUUAAAUUGAAGAGUUUGAUCAUGGCUCAGAUUGAACGCUGGCGGCAGGCCUAACACAUGCAAGUCGAGCGGUAGCACAGAGAGCUUGCUCUCGGGUGACGAGCGGCGGACGGGUGAGUAAUGUCUGGGAAACUGCCUGAUGGAGGGGGAUAACUACUGGAAACGGUAGCUAAUACCGCAUAAUGUCGCAAGACCAAAGUGGGGGACCUUCGGGCCUCAUGCCAUCAGAUGUGCCCAGAUGGGAUUAGCUAGUAGGUGGGGUAACGGCUCACCUAGGCGA
rnacentral:rRNA from 1 species